UCCGUGUUAACCACGGCAGUCUCCUUAGAGAGCCCAACUAAAUGCUGGCAACUAAGGACAAGGGUUGCGCUCGUUGCGGGACUUAACCCAACAGGUCACCCCACGAGCUGACGACAGCCAUGCAGCACCUGUCACUUGGUCGUAUUACUACGAAAGCUCUAUCUCUAGAGCGGUCCAAGGAUGUCAAACCCAGGUAAGGUUCUUCGCGUUGCUUCGAAUUAAACCACAUGAUCCACCGCUUGUGCGGGCCCCCGUCAAUUCCUUUGAGUUUUAGUCUUGCGACCGUACUUCCCAGGCGGGGUACUUAUUGCGUUAGCGCCGGUUCAGCAGGGGUCAAGACCCACUAAACCUAGUACCCAUCGUUUACGGCGUGGACUAC
rnacentral:misc_RNA from 1 species